ACCUACUAUCCCCAUGGAGCCCAGUUGGGCCUGGGAGUCUGCUGUUUGUACAGCCGGUGGGCUCGUGUUGCUUUGGGCAUCCCUGUGCCUGAAUUCCUGCAGUACACUCGGUGUGCAUUCCAUGGUGCAUCCUCACCUAGAAUUGAGUGGAAGCAAGUCCAUUUCAGAAGGGACAUAACUGAAGAGGAAUGGCUUUCCAGACUCUGAAGGGCAGAGAAACACCAGCCUGGGUUAGAGAAAGAGAACAGCAUCUCUGAGCCCGUCCUGGGUGACCUCACAGAGAUCACCCUAGUGGCCCAGGCUAGUGACCGGGAACAUGUACCUUCCUGCAGCCAACCCCAGACGUCCACUGAUGCAUCAUAUACUGGCAAAUAUGUGAGUUCAUGUG